rnacentral:rRNA from 1 species
UACGUAGGGGGCAAGCGUUGUCCGGAUUUAUUGGGCGUAAAGAGCGUGUAGGCGGCUAGGUAGGUCCGUUGUGAAAACUCGAGGCUCAACCUCGAGACGUCGAUGGAAACCAUCUAGCUAGAGUCCGGAAGAGGAGAGUGGAAUUCCUGGUGUAGCGGUGAAAUGCGCAGAUAUCAGGAGGAACACCGGUGGCGAAGGCGGGUCUCUGGGCCGAUACUGACGCUGAGGAGCGAAGCGUGGGAGCGAACAGG